rnacentral:rRNA from 1 species
AACGUAGGAGACAAACGUUAUCCGGAGUUACUGGGCGUAAAGGGCGUGUAGGUGGUUCGUAAGUCUGGCGUGAAAUUUCUCGGCUUAACCGAGGCAGGUCGUCGGAUACUGCGGAACUAGAGGACGGUAGAGGCGUGUGGAAUUCCGGGUGUAGUGGUGAAAUGCGUAGAGAUCCGGAGGAACACCAGUGGCGAAGGCGACACGCUGGGCCGUACCUGACACUGAUGCGCGACAGCAUGGGGAGCAAACAGG